GUCAGCGGGAAAGGUUUCCCUGCUGGGUGUUAAUCUGCCCCUGCCCUUUCCCCAGCCUUUCCCUGGUCGUUAUUUCUGUGAGUUAUCUGUUUGUACCAUUUGCUGGGUGGGACUAUGUGUGGGCUCCUGCAACCCCUUCCCUGGUAUCCUUGUAGCUCAUAUCUCAUGAAGUAGUACAGAAAUAGUCAGCAGACAACUCUUGUAACACACUGGUCUCUUUUUCGUGAUGAACAAAAUGUAGUCCUUCAUCUCAAUCCCCCCUUUGUUUUGAUACUCAAUUUUGUUCAUCAAAACGCUCUAAUUCCCUUUUGCUGAGCUCCAGAGAUUCUUCUGGAUCAUCCAUCUUCAAGGUUUCGUAUUUUGCUCGUAUGAGCAUAAGGUGAGCAGCUUCUAAUCUGCCUUUUACAAUGCUAAUCAAUUUAUUAAAAAUACAAGGGCCAAACGUGAGUCCCAAUAGUAAGAGAAGUAGUGGACCCGCUAUCGUUGAUAAUAAAGUUGUAAGCCAAGGAGAAUAGUUAAACCAAGAUUCAUACCAGCUUUGGUGUUCUUCCCUUUCUCUUUGUCUUCUUUCUAGCCCCUCCCGUAGUUUUGCCAUUGAGUCCCGUAUAAUUCCGCUCUUGUUUACAUAUGUGCAGCAUUCUUCUCUUAAAGCAGCACAUAGUCCUCCUUGUUGCAGGAAUAAUAGAUUUAACCCCCUUCGAUUUUGUAAGGCUACCUCUGCUAGGGAAUCUAAUGAUUCUGUGAGGUCUUCAUCUACAGAGGCUCUUAGUUCUUGGAAUCCUCGGUGUUGCUGUAUGAGUGAGGCUAUUCCUGUUCCUGUCCCGGCUGCACCUAUUCCUAGUAACAUUGCUACAGUGAAGGUUGUGAAUAUUUCCCGUUUCACUAUGUGGGGUCCUAUAUUUUGAUAUUGUUCAUAAACGUACUCUACGGGGUGGUAAAGGACUCUGGGUACUAUCAAUACUUGAAUACAAAAGUCACUGGAUUCAUUAAAUCGGUCUAUAUUUAUA